GACGAACGCUGGCGGCGUGCCUAAUACAUGCAAGUCGAGCGCAGGAAGUCGACGGAACCCUUCGGGGGGAAGUCGACGGAAUGAGCGGCGGACGGGUGAGUAACACGUAAAGAACCUGCCCUCAGGUCUGGGAUAACCACGAGAAAUCGGGGCUAAUACCGGAUGGGUCAUCGGACCGCAUGGUCCGAGGAUGAAAGGCGCUCCGGCGUCGCCUGGGGAUGGCUUUGCGGUGCAUUAGCUAGUUGGUGGGGUAAUGGCCCACCAAGGCGGCGAUGCAUAGCCGACCUGAGAGGGUGAGCGGCCACACUGGGACUGAGACACGGCCCAGAAGCCUACGGGAGGCAGCAGUAGGGAAUCUUCCACAAUGGACGAAAGUCUGAUGGAGCAACGCCGCGUGAACGAUGAAGGCCUUCGGGUCGUAAAGUUCUGUUGUAAGGGAAGAACAAGUGCCGCAGGCAAUGGCGGCACCUUGACGGUACCUUGCGAGAAAGCCACGGCUAACUACGUGCCAGCAGCCGCAGUAAAAC
rnacentral:rRNA from 1 species